UACGUAGGCAGCAAGCGUUGUUCGGAGUUACUGGGCGUAAAGGGUGUGUAGGCGGUCUUCUAAGUCUGGUGUGAAAUCUCCCGGCUCAACUGGGAGGGUGCGCCGAAAACUGGAAGGCUAGAGUGCGGGAUGGGAGAGUGGAAUUCCUGGUGUAGCGGUGAAAUGCGUAGAUAUCAGGAGGAACACCAGUGGCGAAGGCGACUACCUGGCCUGUUCUUGACGCUGAGGCGCGAAAGCUAGGGGAGCAAACGGG
rnacentral:rRNA from 1 species